rnacentral:rRNA from 1 species
GACGAACGCUGGCGGCGUGCUUAACACAUGCAAGUCGAACGAUGAAGCCGGAGCUUGCUCUGGUGAAUUAGUGGCGAACGGGUGAGUAACACGUGAGUAACCUGCCCUUGACUCUGGGAUAACUGCUAGAAAUGGUAGCUAAUACCGGAUACGACCCUCGGCGGCAUCGCCAGGGGGUGGAAAGAAUUUCGGUCAAGGAUGGACUCGCGGCCUAUCAGCUAGUUGGUGAGGUAACGGCUCACCAAGGCGACGACGAGUAGCAGGCCUGCGAGGGCGACCGGACAGACUGGGACGUAGAAACGGCCCAGGCUACUACCGGAGGCAGCAGGGGGGAAUAAUGCGCUAUGGAGGAAACUCUAACCCAGCGACGCCGCGUGCGGGAUGAAGGCCUUCGGGUCGUAAACCGCUUUCAGCAGGGAAGAAGCGAAAGUGACGGUACCUGCAGAAGAAGCACCGGCUAACUAUGAGCCAGCCGCCGCAGUAA